rnacentral:lncRNA from 10 species
CACCUGCAAGAACAAGCUCCUGCACCAAUAUGAUUCCAGACCCUAAUCCAUCCAAUCCCUGCUGACAGGUAACAGCUGUAACGUGCCCAAGAACGGGAAAGAACAGUGAGAGGGGCUGCCCCGGGGCCGCUGGACAGAUGGGGCUGGUAUCUCUGGCAGGUCACAGCUGGUCUCCGGCAGUUCUCCACGAACCAAGGGAAAGUGGCAGAAAUGUGGGAACUUGAGCAUUGUCUCAGAAAGUGAAUGUGUAACGCCGGACAGGCUCUGGAGAUCAGUGCGUCCAGCUUUCCCAUUUUACACAGAGCACGUUUUGGAUUCUCAGAGUAUAAUUGCUCAAGCGGCACCUCAUGAAGAGGAACAAAGGUUUACUCAUAACAAUCCGGCAAGGAGAGGCAUUCUGGAUCACCAGGAAGAAUUUCAAGUGGCUUGCAAAGAUUGAUAAAAUACAGCAAAAGUGUUAUAUGUUGGAACUAAAAGAGAAGGAAUAUUUAAAAACGAGGGAGGCAGAAGUAAGGCCCAGAAUGCAAGUCUGUGUUUUCUGUUGGCCACAGAAGAGGCUCUAAGAUCCUGAUUCUCUACCCAGGCUGCACAGUAAAAUCUCCCGGGCAGCUCUUAGACACCUUGAAGCCUCAGCCACGGCCCAGACCAGCGGCAGCGCCA